AUGGGGAACGUGAGAUCUCUCGCCAACAAGAUCGACGAGCUCGCGGCGCUCACACGGUACCAGCCGGAGUACAGAACGAGCAGCGUCCUGCUGUUCACGGAGACCUGGCUGACGUCACUCAUCCCGGACUCGACUGUCGCACUGGACAAUUUUCAUCUGCUACGUGCGGACAGAACGGAGAACAGCGGUAAGAGGAAGGGAGGGGGUCUGGCUGUGUUUGUGAACAUCAGGUGGUGUAUGCCACGACACUGCACUGUCAAAAUGAAGCUGUGUAACAGGGACAUUGAGCUUUUAGCGGUGGGCAUGAGGCCAUUCUACCUGCCACGGGAGUUCACACGCGUUAUAAUAAUUGCUGUGUACGUCCCACCCUCCGCUAACGCUGACACAGCUUCUGAGACCCUGCUCUCAGUCACCAGCAGGCUGCAAACACAGCACCCACAGGCCCUCUUCCUGAUCUCUGGGGACUUUAACCAUGCACCUCCUUCAGCUGCUCUGCCUACAUACACCCAGUAUGUGACCUGCCCCACCAGAGACAAUAAAACACUGGACUUAUUCUAUGCCAACACCAAAGAGGCCUACACUGCAUCCUGCCUCCCACCACUGGGCAGAGCUGACCACAACAUCCUGCAUCUCCUGCCUGUGUAUAAACCUGUUGUACACAGGCAGCCGGUGGUGCCCCGCACAGUGAAGAGGUGGACAGCUGAGAGCGAGGAGGCUCUCAGGGACUGUUUUAACACCACUGUGUGGACGGAGCUCUGCGACCCACAUGGGGAGGACAUUAACGCAAUAACAGACUGUGUAACGGACUACAUAAACUUCUGCUGUGAAAACACUGUUCCCACCAGGCGGGUUCGGUGUUUCACUAACAGCAAGCCAUGGGUCACCCCUGAUAUUAAAGCUCUGCUAAAGGAGAAGAAGAGAGCAUUUAAAUCAGAGGACAGGGAGGAGCUGAGGAGGGUGCAGAAGGAGCUGAGGAGGAAAAUCCAUGGACCUGCUGAUGUCCUGUCAUGCCUAGUUCACCUUUGUUUCCUACCAUGUGAUCACCAGCUGUGUCCCAUCAUCAAUCACCUCCCUUCAUUUAAGCACCUGCACGUCCCUUUGUUCUCUGUCAGUUAG
rnacentral:lncRNA from 1 species